GGAUGAGUAGGCACGUCCAGCCUAGAACUACCUCCUCAUUGAUGGACAGAUUCUGCACUUGGUCAGCCAGUUUCUUCAUCAGCGCCUCCAGCUGUGCCUGCCGCUCCUCACAGUCCUCCAUCUGCAGCUCCAGGUUGUCCUCUGUGUUUCUCUGAGCCAGGAACCGGCCAGCGAUGUCCUGGUGGGGCCUGUGUGGGGAGGAGCAGGUGUGGGCCAGGUGGGCACAAGCCCCACAGUAUUGGUCUCUUCUGAGUCAGGGAUGAUGCUGACCGUGGCCAGGCACCAGGUGUAGCACUUGAUGCGAGUCACCACAUGUGACCCAUGCUUCAGGCAAAGAGGACAGAUGCCCCAAGGCAGAGACCAGGAGACCACCCCUGGAAGACUGCCUGGCUUGGAGCCACUUGUCUCAGGAUGGACAAGCUUAUAUCAGGGCUGCUAAGGCUUAACUAAUAAUAAGCCCAGAUCGGAUUAAACUGAGGGCCAGGCAGAAGUGGCUUCUCACUAUAGUCCUAGCCCUUUGGGAAGGGAUGUAGUUGUCGGCAGAGGAGGCAGCCCUUGGAUCCUGGAUCCCAGCAGGCUCCGCAUGCCCCCUGGAAUGCGACUCAGGCCAGAGUGUGCUCUGCUCCCUGCCACAGGGGCCACACCUCCAUGUCCCCUCAUUCAACGGGCUCAGCUGGGUCUUGGGCUGUGGCAGGGGCUCCCUGCCUUUCACCCACACCCCAGGAGAGCCUGAGGGCAGUACCCAGAAAUGAGUGCACCGCACAGCAGACUUCACUUUCUUUUUUUUUUUUUAAGAUUUUAUUUAUUUAUUCAUAGAGACAGAGAGAGAGGCAGAGACACAGGCAGAGAGAGAAGCAGGCUCCAUGCAGGGAGCCCGACGUGGGACUCGAUCCAGGGUCUCCAGGAUCAUGCCCUGGGCUGCAGGCGGCGCUAAACCGCUGCGCCACCGGGGCUGCCCCAGACUUCACUUUCUCCACCAAAGCUGUGACUUCUAUCUGGUAUUCGAUGUCGGCCUUGGAGAUCUCUCUUCUCCUCACUGGGCAGAGCAGAAGGGAAAGGAAGAAAGGCUGGCAUGCAGAAGUGGCUUGGGAGCUCUGCUCUGGGCCGUCAGUCACUUCUGUACAUGCCCAGGCAUCAGGGGAGGCCACCAGCAAGCUGCCUGUCCUUCACCUGCUCCCCCCUCCACUGGCCCUUCUGUCUAGAAGCAUCCUGGUCCAUGUGGGUACUUUGUGGUACUUCUCUGAGGCAGCACAGGGGCCCAAAAGGCUGGAUUUAUCUCUUUUGAGGAAUCACUGGGUGAUUGAGCCCUGGGGUUCCAGGGGAUAGCUGAAAAGCUGGGGACCCAGCCGCUCCUGGCAGUGAGCCCAAGGCUGGGAGCAGUGCAGGGCAGUGUGGGCUGGGGCUGCUGGCACUCUGCAGGUAGCACUGCAGGGAGGCAGGGUUGCCCUGGCCUCACAGAGACCUGACAGGAUGGCCUGAGCUGGUGCUGGCCUCUUGGGACCCUGGCUGGGGGUGGCAGAGGGCUGAGCGCUCACCUUUCAGUUUCUGUACCCAUCAGAUUGGAGGGGAGUCCAAGUCCCACCAGCCCUGGAGGGAAGGGGGAUGUGAGGAUUCGGAUGCCCCUGACCUCCAGAGCUCCACUCAAGCAUCAUCUCUCUGAGCAGGUGAGUGCCCCAGGGUGGCCCCACAUCACCCACUCCUCCCUCUGCAGCACUGGCCCAGGGCUGUAUGAUAUCUCCUCACAGACUACUGGAUGGCUUCUUACCCUGCUCUCCUCGUGAGGAUGAUGCAGGGGCUUUGAGUAGGCCUUGGCACAGACCGGGUGAAGGGCCGGGUGAAUUCCCUCUUGUGUCUACCUCAAGGCUCCCUUGCCUGGUGGGACCCUCUCCAUCCAGGGCCAUCGUGUGUGUGUGUGUGUGUGUGUGUGUGUGUGUGUGUGUGUGUGUGAGGCAGCUAGUAAUUGCAGACAGGAUGGGUUUGGGGGUGUUCCUACAAACCCUGGGCCAGAUGGGUAUGUGAGGGAGCCCUGCAGGACCCCAGGCCCUAUGGCUCCAGCUCACCUUGA